UACGUAGGGCGCAAGCGUUGUCCGGAAUUAUUGGGCGUAAAGAGCUCGUAGGCGGCUUGUCACGUCGGGUGUGAAAGCCCGGGGCUUAACCCCGGGUCUGCAUUCGAUACGGGCUAGCUAGAGUGUGGUAGGGGAGAUCGGAAUUCCUGGUGUAGCGGUGAAAUGCGCAGAUAUCAGGAGGAACACCUGAGGCGAAGGCGGGUUGCUAGGCUGACACUGACGCUGAGGCGCGAAAGCCAGGGGAGCAAACGGG
rnacentral:rRNA from 1 species